ACGAAGAGUGAACAGCUACGUGCUGCAUGCUUAUUCUUAACGGUUCUCGAUGAAGCUCAAUUUUUUGCUGUGUUGCUUAGUGAUAUUAUUAACACUUAUAACUAUGGCGUCAACGCAGCGUUUCCAGUUAAUAAAUAUCAGAAAUCAUGCAGUCAUCAUACCUAGACACAGGUGUAGGGAUGGCCGCAUCCGUGUUGGAAACAGAUGUCGGAGAUUAUUUAGAGGCUGAAUAUUUCACCAACAGCAUAAUGCAUCAUCAAAUCUUGGCGCCACGUCUGCAGUACAUGAAGAUAUCUAUACCGGUAUGCCACCUGAACAUUCACAAUGUCCUGACGAAAUAAACAAAAUAAAAAGCCAGUGGAAUAAAA